AAAAAGGUUUUUUUAAGAACCACAAUAUCAUUUUUCAUCAUUUCAG
rfam:Culex pipiens quinquefasciatus supercont3.352 genomic scaffold, whole genome shotgun sequence.